rnacentral:rRNA from 1 species
UACGCAGGGGGCGAGCGUUGUUCGGAUUUACUGGGCGUAAAGGGCGCGCAGGCGGCUUUGUUUGUCAGGCGUGAAAGCCCCGGGCUUAACCUGGGAACUGCGUUUGAUACGGCAGGGCUAGAGUUCGGGAGAGGAGAGUGGAAUUCCCAGUGUAGAGGUGAAAUUCGUAGAUAUUGGGAAGAACACCGGUGGCGAAGGCGGCUCUCUGGACCGAUACUGACGCUGAGACGCGAAAGCGUGGGGAGCGAACAGG